rnacentral:misc_RNA from 1 species
GAUGAAGAACGUAGCGAAGUGCGAUAAGUAGUGUGAAUUGCAGAAUUCCGUGGAUCAUCGAAUUUUUGAACGCAAAUUGCACUCUCUGGUAUUCCGGAGAGUAUGCCUGUUUGAGGGUCAUUAAAAUCAAAAUCGAUUUGUUUACUUUGGUAACUUGGUAACAUUUUCGGAAUUGGGUCAUCUUAAACCUUCAGGUUCAAGAGGCUUAAAAUUAAUCAUUUUUUGGUAUGAAUUAAGCGUAUUUAAGAUCACUUAUCACGCGCUUGACUCCUAUCGGAUGUUUAUUAGGCGUGACCAUGAUCAUGGUUUCGCGCCCAUAAUCUUUCCAUGAAAUGACCUCAAAUCAGGUAGGAAUACCCGCUGAACUUAAGCAUAUCAAUAAGCGGAGGA